rnacentral:miRNA from 1 species
AAAGUGCCACCUGACUGGAUGA